rfam:Brassica napus, WGS project CCCW01000000 data, contig: 23441
GAAAUAUAAGAAACCGUCUCUUAACUUUUAACUAAAAAAACUAAGAACCGGUUCUUAAAAAUUUUUUAGUUAAAAGUUAAGAGACAGUUUAUUAUAUUUC